GCGGGCUUAGUUCAACGUUAGAAUACCUUUCUUCCUGAAAGGAGAAGUGAGUUUAAUUCUUGCAACCCGCUCCA
rnacentral:tRNA from 1 species